UACGGAGGGGGCUAGCGUUGUUCGGAUUUACUGGGCGUAAAGGGCGCGUAGGCGGCCAGCACAAGUCAGUUGUGAAAUCUCCGAGCUUAACUCGGAACGGUCAACUGAUACUGUGCGGCUAGAGUGCGGAAGGGGCAACUGGAAUUCUUGGUGUAGCGGUGAAAUGCGUAGAUAUCAAGAGGAACACCUGCGGCGAAGGCGGGUUGCUGGGCCGACACUGACGCUGAGGCGCGAAAGCUAGGGGAGCGAACGGG
rnacentral:rRNA from 1 species